CACCGAAGCUGCGGCAGCGACACUCAGGUGUUGUUGGGUAGGGGAGCGUUCUGUAAGCCUGCGAAGGUGGCCUGUGAGGGUUGCUGGAGGUAUCAGAAGUGCGAAUGCUGACAUAAGUAACGAUAAAGCGGGUGAAAAGCCCGCUCGCCGGAAGACCAAGGGUUCCUGUCCAACGUUAAUCGGGGCAGGGUGAGUCGACCCCUAAGGCGAGGCCGAAAGGCGUAGUCGAUGGGAAACGGGUUAAUAUUCCCGUACUUGGUGUUACUGCGAAGGGGGGACGGAGAAGGCUAUGUUGGCCGGGCGACGGUUGUCCCGGUUUAAGCGUGUAGGUGUGUGUUCCAGGUAAAUCCGGUU
rnacentral:rRNA from 1 species